ACUGCUCUUUCUGCCCAGCUCAUCCAUCCAGCCCACUCAGUUCAAAUCCACCUUCUUUCAGAACCUACAAAGGGUGAAAAGAGUGGAGAAGAAAUCUCCCCAGCGGUUGAGGAAAUUGUCAGAAGUGAUAACAUCACAGGAAAACCCACCAACCAGAACCAAGGGGACCAGAGCCCAGCCCCUCACCCAGAGCAUCCCAGGUACAUGAUACCCAUCUGUGCCUGACUGUGCCAUGGGCUGCGGGCUGCUCUGCUGUGUGGUCCUGUGUGUCCUGGGAGCAGUCCCCAUGGACACCAGAGUUACCCAGACACCAAGACACCUGGUCAUGGGAAUGACAGAUAAGAAGUCUCUGAAAUGUGAACAAAAUCUGGGACAUAAUGCUAUGUACUGGUACAAACAGGGUGACAAGAAGCCACCGGAGCUCAUGUUUGCCUACUACCUAAAGGAACUCAGAGAAAACGUGACUGUGCCAAGUCGCUUCUUACCAGAGUGCCGUGACAGCUCUCACUUGCACCUUUAUCUAGACACCCUGCAGCCAGAAGACUCAGCCAUGUAUCUCUGUGCCAGCAGCCAAGACACAGCCCUGCAGAGUCGGCUCCUCCCUGUACACAAACUUUCGGACCCAGCCAGGAAGCGGUGGGGCAACUGA